rnacentral:rRNA from 1 species
GUGAGAAUCCCGUAUGUGACCGGCGACCAACCCCAUGUGAAACCCCUUCGACGAGUCGAGUUGUUUGGGAAUGCAGCUCAAAAUGGGUGGUAUAUUUCAUCUAAAGCUAAAUACCGGCCAGAGACCGAUAGCGCACAAGUAGAGUGAUCGAAAGAUGAAAAGCACUUUGGAAAGAGAGUCAAAAAGUACGUGAAAUUGUUGAAAGGGAAGCGCUCGCAACCAGACCUGCCCGCGGCCGAUCAACCGUCCUUCUGGGCGGUGCACUCGACCGCGAUCAGGCCAGCAUCGGUUCGGGCGGCCGGAUAAAGGCCCUGGGAACGUAGCUCCUUUCGGGGAGUGUUAUAGCCCUCGGUGUAAUGCGGCCAGCCUGGACCGAGGACCGCGCUUCGGCUAGGAUGCUGGCGUAAUGGUUGUGAGCGGCCCGUCUUGAAACACGGACCAAGGAGUCUAACAUCUAUGCGAGUGUUUGGGUGUCAAACCCAUACGCGUAAUGAAAGUGAACGGAGGUGGGAACCCAUUCGGGCGCACCAUCGACCGAUCCAGAUGUCUUCGGAUGGAUUUGAGUACGAGCAUAGCUGUUGGGACCCGAAAGAUGGUGAACUAUGCCUGAAUAGGGUGAAGCCAGAGGAAACUCUGGUGGAGGCUCGCAGCGGUUCUGACGUGCAAAUCGAUCGUCAAAUUUGGGUAUAGGGGCGAAAGACUAAUCGAACCAUC